rnacentral:lncRNA from 1 species
CUUUUGUUAUCGUUAACUCGUUAACACCUUUUGCGCACACGCUACCAGUUUUUUGUCUUCUUUCUUGGUUCUGUACCCUAUCAGUAAAGUGGCACGCAGAACCUCCUUAGGACUUACAAAUCAUCUGCAUUUUCCAGUUGACCGAGCUCGGCCGACACACUGGUCGCUUCGCGCCUCUGAAUUCUUCCGGGAAUCUGUCGCUGCCUAGCUAGUAUCUUCGUUGCCUGCGGAUACGAUUGGAUUCAGUUCUGUCCGUUUUAUGUUCCCCGGUGUGGUAGCGGUCCGAGCACAUCCUUCAGAUCCUUGGCCUUUUGACGCUUUUGCCCGUUUGUGGAGUUUUACAGGACCCCUCACGUGGCUGGCCGUCACUCAUGCGGAAUUACCCAGCACUUGGAACAAAAGAGCGAGGAUAUCGGACGUGUAAGAUCCAUCUGUGUCACACAUUUGAUUGUGCAAGCGGCAUGUGGUGUUCCUCCGUUUCGCUCAAGGCUCUGCCGCCGAACAGCGGCGAGCAAGAACCACGAAAAACUGCCUGGUGCGUGAAUAGUCUUGUCUAAAG